rnacentral:rRNA from 1 species
UACGGGGGAUGCAAGCGUUAUCCGGAUUUAUUGGGUUUAAAGGGUGCGUAGGCUGUGAGGUAAGUCAGCGGUGAAAUGCCCCCGCUCAACGGGGUGAAGUGCCAUUGAUACUGCCUUGCUGGAAUGCGGAUGCCGUGGGAGGAAUGUGUGGUGUAGCGGUGAAAUGCAUAGAUAUCACACAGAACACCGAUUGUGAAGGCAUCUCACGAAUCCGCUAUUGACGCUGAUGCACGAAAGCGUGGGUAUCAAACAGG